UUCAUUGAACAUUUCGAAGGGCUAUUAUGAAAAUAUUUAUUUAAAUAUUUUUAAACAAAUAAUAGCAUCAAAUUUGUUCAUAAAACAAAUGUAUAUACGGUGGCUUUUUAAAUUUUUAAUUUUAAAAGUGUCAAUCCAUAUAUAUCACAGCACC
rnacentral:sRNA from 1 species